rnacentral:lncRNA from 1 species
UUUUUUCCUGGAAAGCUGCCAGAUUUUUUCAUUACAUGGAGAAAGAUGGUGAGAGUUUCAUUUUUACACUUUGAAAGUUUUGAGAUGAGCUUUUUGAUCUCCUGCUCGAAUUGUCUUAUAUUCAGGCAAAUGUUUAUAAGCCACCUGUCUAUUUAAGGCUGAGCCUCCUUUCUCUAGCAUUUUUUUCCUUCUAGCACUAGAAGUAAGGGAGAUAUCUCCCUGCUGUGUCUUUCUUUCUGCUAGCUUAGUCUUGUGCCCUCCAACUUUACUUAGAAUUCAGCAAUUAAUUAGUUUACAUUUGGACUACUACACUAAAAAGCUGCUCCAUUGCUUUCUGUUUUCACCAGUAGAGUCCGUCUUCCCCAGCCAACCUUAAUACUCAGUCUAUUCUAGAACUUCUAAUUCUCCUAAGAAAGAAGAUGAUGGGUUGUUGUUAUUUAUAAAAAGGCUCUUAUCUCUCUACAUCUUAGCUCAUCUAUUGUAUUUUACUUCAUAAAUAUUCUGAUAUCUUAAAAAUGGGACAGAAGCUCAUUUUUUUCUAGUUGUUGUCAAGUGUUUAUAAUUGCUAUCCUUAAAGAUUAAAGCAGUGAAAUCUAUUUUUCUGAUUAUGAAGUAAUACACAUUGUAUUAACUUUUGCCUAGUUUUGCUGUAUAACAAAUGACCUCAAUAUUUCAGCAGCCUGCAACAAUAGCUUAUUCUCCUCUUGCUACAUGCUAGCUAAAGCUUGGCAUUGGCUCUCCUAUUGCUCCACAUAGCUUCUGAUUCUGAGAUCCAGGCUGGGGAACAACUCCUAUUUGGGCCAUGCUGUUCUUGUAACAGAGGAGGAAAAGAAGAAAAUUGGCAAACAUACACAGUGGCUUUUAAAACUUCUGCUUGGAUAUUUGUUUUUAUGUUACUGGCCAAAGCACAUCAGUAGCUGAAGCCAAAGUUAAUGGGGCAAAGAUGUUUACUUCUACAGAAAUAUUCUGUGUUAACAUGAGAACCUGUGGAAGUUGUUUUGAAUGAAAGUGGACUGAAUAUUUACAAAUUAUAAUAAAAUUUAUCAGCUUAAUUAUUUUUACUUAAUAUAUUUUUAUGGUUGCCCACUAAAAUGGGUUAACUGGACUUACUGGUCAGACAAAAUGCCCACUAGAAGGGUUUAAUUAUCAAUAAUAUGUAGAAAUUUUCUGUUCAGAAGUUACUAUUGGAUCAGAGUUUCAAAAGGUAAUCUCACCUGUAGAGUAAAAUGUCCAUUAUUCUGUAUGUUUAAGAAAAGGGUGAGGCCAGCCUGGUCUACAGCAUGAGUUCCAGGACAGCCAGGGCUACACAGAGAAACCUUGUCUCG